UACGUAGGGUGCGAGCGUUGCCCGGAUUUAUUGGGCGUAAAGGGCGCGUAGGCGGCCUGGCGCGUCGGCUGUGAAAUCUCCCGGCUCAACUGGGAGGGGACGGCCGAUACGGCUGGGCUUGAGCGAGGUAGGGGAGAGUGGAAUUCCCGGUGUAGUGGUGAAAUGCGUAGAUAUCUGGAGGAACACCGGUGGCGAAGGCGGCAUCCUGGACCAACACUGACACUGAGGAGCGAAAGCCAGGGGAGCAAACAGG
rnacentral:rRNA from 1 species